rnacentral:rRNA from 1 species
GACGAACGCUGGCGGCGUGCUUAACACAUGCAAGUCGAACGGAAAGGCCCUGCUUUUGUGGGGUGCUCGAGUGGCGAACGGGUGAGUAACACGUGAGUAACCUGCCCUUGACUUUGGGAUAACUUCAGGAAACUGGGGCUAAUACCGGAUAGGAGCUCCUGCUGCAUGGUGGGGGUUGGAAAGUUUCGGCGGUUGGGGAUGGACUCGCGGCUUAUCAGCUUGUUGGUGGGGUAGUGGCUUACCAAGGCUUUGACGGGUAGCCGGCCUGAGAGGGUGACCGGCCACAUUGGGACGGAGAUACGGCCCAGACUCCUACGGGAGGCAGCAGGGGGGAAUAUUGCACAAUGGGCGGAAGCCUGAUGCAGCAACGCCGCGGGCGGGAUGACGGCCUUGGGGUUGUAACCCGCUUUCGCCGGUGACGAAGCGUGAGUGACGGUAAUGGGUAAAGAAGCACCGGCUAACUACGUG